UACAGAGGGUGCGAGCGUUAAUCGGAAUUACUGGGCGUAAAGCGCGCGUAGGCGGUUUUGUAAGUCGGGUGUGAAAUCCCCAGGCUCAACCUGGGAACUGCAUUCGAGACUGCAUAGCUAGAGUAUGGGAGAGGGAAGUGGAAUUUCAGGUGUAGCGGUGAAAUGCGUAGAUAUCUGAAGGAACAUCAGUGGCGAAGGCGACUCUUUGGCCUGUAACUGACGCUGAGGCGCGAAAGCGUGGGGAGCAAACAGG
rnacentral:rRNA from 1 species